UUAGUGACAAAUAUUCCCUGAAUACCAACUCCAAGUAGGGCACUUUCAGACACUAGGAACCCAGAAAAACUCUGACAGUCAGCUUUUAGUUCAGACAAGGGAACAGAUCCUAAAUAGAAAUAGCAAAAACUACAGAAGAACCCAUUCAGGUUCAUACUGCACUCUACCCAAACAUGUGAGAUCUCUUCAAUGGACUACAGAUAAUGGGCAUAACUCAGAGAGACUGUGACAGUUACAUUUGCAGAAGGAAAACCCCAAAACGAUGAAGCAGAGGAUCUUACUUGUCUAAUUCUGGGAAUUAGCGAAGCAGGAGAUCUAAGAGUCAUGCCAAAAGUGAUCGCACAUGUAUUUAUGAUGACACAAAAUUAAAAUGAAUUUAAAUUAACUAAUUAAUUAUUGUUUCCUCCGAAUCACUGCAGGGCCUACCACACAAUUCCCCCUGCCUCAGUCCUCUCCUCCAUGGACUACUUAAGCAGCAUGAAUAGUGUCUCCCAUACUGUAGCUUGAAUAGUUGUCUGUCCAAAAUGCAGAUGGGUUCAUUUCCUCCUCUCUCAAAUCCCUCAUAGCUUCCUGAACCUUAUAGGAUGAAGCCAGGCCUCUUUCCCAUGGCAUUGAAAGUUCUCCAUGAACCAUCCCCUUAGCUAACUUCCCAGACUUACCAGCAAUGACUAUUAGGCCACAAAAGUUUUAUAUCAUAUUUGUUUCUCCAUUUCUUCUCUUGGCGUCCUCAAUCUAUAUCUGCGUAUGAGAAUUGAUUGGGUUUGAAAGAUUCCAGACCAGCUACAGAGCAAAUUACAGUCUAAUAUUCAUAAAAUCCUAAAAGCAAGACAGAGAGAAAGUCUCCACAAAUGCUUCUAGAAAGCAGGCUUUUUAGGCUGUAAAUCAACUCUGCUUAUUAUACAGAGUUUGGGGAGGGAUAUUUAUUACACAGGGGAGUUUCAACAGAAGAAUAAAGAAAUCACCAGGCUGCAGAUGAUUUACCUUAACUUUGCAGAAUAGAAAGAGAGAGAAAAAAGGAUCAAUGAAUUUUAGACUCUCAACCCACCACUCACAAAAACACCUCUCCUGCUUUAAUGAGCUGUGACCAGAUUAUCCAGAAAUAUGUCUCCGGUAUUAUUUCCUCCUGGAAAAUGGAGAAGGAGCUCUCUAUAAAACUGUAAGGAGAGUCAACUAUAAAGAAAUCUAAUCUUUUUUUUUUCUUGAUAAAUGUAAGUCUGUUAUAAAACAUGCCAUUUCAUUAACAUGUGCAGGUUUUUUUUUUUUUUAACAACUGU